rnacentral:rRNA from 1 species
UACGGGGGGGGGCAAGCGUUGUUCGGAAUUACUGGGCGUAAAGGGCUCGUAGGCGGCCAACUAAGUCAGACUGAAAUCCCCAGGCUCAACCUGGGAACUGCGUCUGAUACUGGAUGGCUUGAAUUCGGGAGAGGGAUGCAGAAUUCCAGGUGUAGCGGUGAAAUGCGUAGAUAUCUGGAGGAAUACCGGUGGCGAAGGCGGCAUCCUGGACCGACAUUGACGCUGAGGAGCGAAAGCUAGGGGAGCAAACGGG